UGGGGAAUAUUGCACAAUGGGCGCAAGCCUGACUGCAGCCAUGCCGCGCUGUAUGAAGAAGGCCAAUUCGGGGCUUUGGUUAAAGAUACUUUCAGCGAGGAGGAAGGCAUUAAGGUUAAUAACCUUGGUGAUUGACGUUACUCGCAGAAGAAGCACCGGCUAACUCCGUGCCAGCAGCCGCGGUAAUACGGAGGGUGCAAGCGUUAAUCGGAAUUACUGGGCGUAAAGCGCACGCAGGCGGUCUGUCAAGUCGGAUGUGAAAUCCCCCGGGCUCAACCUGGGAACUGCAUUCGAAACUGGCAGGCUAGAGUCUUGUAGA
rnacentral:rRNA from 1 species